UUUGAAUAAUAUAAAAGGUAAUGCCUGCCCAGUGACCAUGUGUUCAACGGCCGCGGUAUUCUGACCGCGCGAAGGUAGCGUAAUCACUUGUUUUUUAAAUAAAGACUAGUAUGAACGGCCACACGAGGACCUGACUGUCUCCUUUGUCCAAUCAGUGAAACUGAUCUCCUCGUGCAGAAGCGAGGAUUUUCCCAUAAGACGAGAAGACCCUAUGGAGCUUUAAACCUUUAUCAAUUAUUUUCUUCACCCUUCUAAGGAACUAACAACCAGUUAAAUUCCCUUGAUAAAAGUUUUGGGUUGGGGCGACCAUGGAGAAAAAGAAAUCCUCCCUGAUGAUAACCUAACCAAGAGCCACAGCUCUAAGUAUUAAGACACUUAACUCCUAUUGACCCAUUUUAUGAUCAACGAACCA
rnacentral:rRNA from 1 species